GACGAACGCUGGCGGCGUGCUUAACACAUGCAAGUCGAACGGAAAGGCCCUGCUUUUGUGGGGUGCUCGAGUGGCGAACGGGUGAGUAACACGUGAGUAACCUGCCCUUGACUUUGGGAUAACUUCAGGAAACUGGGGCUAAUACCGGAUAGGAGCUCCUGCUGCAUGGUGGGGGUUGGAAAGUUUCGGCGGUUGGGGAUGGACUCGCGGCUUAUCAGCUUGUUGGUGGGGUAGUGGCUUACCAAGGCUUUGACGGGUAGCCGGCCUGAGAGGGUGACCGGCCACAUUGGGACUGAGAUACGGCCCAGACUCCUACGGGAGGCAGCAGUGGGGAAUAUUGCACAAUGGGCGGAAGCCUGAUGCAGCAACGCCGCGUGCGGGAUGACGGCCUUCGGGUUGUAAACCGCUUUCGCCUGUGACGAAGCGUGAGUGACGGUAAUGGGUAAAGAAGCACCGGCUAACUACGUGCCAGCAGCCGCGGUGAUACGUAGGGUGCGAGCGUUGUCCGGAUUUAUUGGGCGUAAAGGGCUCGUAGGUAGUUGAUCGCGUCGGAAGUGUAAUCUUGGGGCUUAACCCUGAGCGUGCUUUCGAUACGGGUUGACUUGAGGAAGGUAGGGGAGAAUGGAAUUCCUGGUGGAGCGGUGGAAUGCGCAGAUAUCAGGAGGAACUCCAGUGGCGAAGGCGGUUCUCUGGGCCUUUCCUGACGCUGAGGAGCGAAAGCGUGGGGAGCGAACAGGCUUAGAUACCCUGGUAGUCCACGCUGUAAACGGUGGGUACUAGGUGUGGGGUCCAUUCCACGGGUUCCGUGCCGUAGCUAACGCUUUAAGUACCCCGCCUGGGGAGUACGGCCGCAAGGCUAAAACUCAAAGGAAUUGACGGGGCCCCGCACAAGCGGCGGAGCAUGCGGAUUAAUUCGAUGCAACGCGUAGAACCUUACCUGGGUUUGACAUGGAUCGGGAGUGCUCAGAGAUGGGUGUGCCUCUUUUGGGGUCGGUUCACAGGUGGUGCAUGGCUGUCGUCAGCUCGUGUCGUGAGAUGUUGGGUUAAGUCCCGCAACGAGCGCAACCCUUGUUCACUGUUGCCAGCACGUUAUGGUGGGGACUCAGUGGAGACCACCGGGGUCAACUCGGAGGAAGGUGGGGAUGACGUCAAGUCAUCAUGCCUCUUAUGUCCAGGGCUUCACGCAUGCUACAAUGGCUGGUACAGAGAGUGGCGAGCCUGUGAGGGUGAGCGAAUCUCGGAAAGCCGGUCUCAGUUCGGAUUGGGGUCUGCAACUCGACCUCAUGAAGUCGGAGUCGCUAGUAAUCGCAGAUCAGCAACGCUGCGGUGAAUACGUUCCCGGGGCU
rnacentral:rRNA from 1 species